AAGACCCCAAUGCGUCGCGGAUGCGGCGUCUCCAACGCGACCCCGGGUCAGGCGGGGUUACCCGCUGAGUUUAAAGCAUAUCA
rnacentral:rRNA from 1 species